UUCCGUUGAUCCUGCGGGAGGUUGCUGCUAUCAGGAUACGAUUAAGCCAUGUAAGUCUUCUUACUUCGGUAAGAGGCGUCAUGCUCAGUAACACGUCAUUAAUCUGCCUUUAGAUUCGGAAUAACCUUGGUAAACUGAGGAUAAUACCGGAUAGGGAAACUACACUGGAAUGGUUUUUUUCCUUAAAGCUUCGGCGUCUAAAGAUGAGUUGGCGGUGGAUUAGGUUGUUGGUGGGGUAAUGGCCCACCAAGCCGAAGAUCCAUAGGGGCCUUGAGAGAGGUAGCCCCGAGAAGGACACUGAAAUACUGGUCCUAGCCCCACGGGGUGCAGCAGGCGCGAAACCUUUACAAUGCACGCAAGUGUGAUAAGGGAAUCCUGAGUUCUCAUGUUUUCAUGGGCUUUUGCCAAGAGUAAAUAUCUUGGCGAAUAAGUGGUGGGUAAGACGGGUGCCAGCAGCCGCGGUAACACCUGCGCCACGAGUGGGAACCAUUAUUAUUGGGUCUAAAGCGUCCGUAGCCGGUUUAAUAAGUUUUCUGUGAAAUUGGCCAGCUUAACUGGUCAGCGUGCAGAAAAUACUAUUAGACUUGGAACCAGGAAGGGUCAAGAGUAUUCUGGGGGGAGCGGUAAAAUGCUAUAAUCCCCGGAGGACUACCAAUGGCGAAGGCACUUGACCGGAAUGGAUUUGACGGUGAGGGACGAAAGCUAGGGGAGCGAUCCGGAUUAGAUACCCGAGUAGUCCUAGCUGUAAACGCUGCGAGCCAGGUGUUGCAUAUCCUUCAUGGAUAUGCAGUAUCGAAACGAAGGUGUUAAGCUCGCCACCUGGGAAGUAUGGUCGCAAGACUGAAACUUAAAGGAAUUGGCGGGGGAGCACUACAAGGGGUGCGGCGUGCGGUUUAAUCUAAUUCAACGCAGAAAAUCUCACCAGAUGCGACGGCAGAAUGAAGGUCAAGCUGAAGACUUUACCAGACAAGCCGAGAGGUGGUGCAUGGCCGCCGUCAGCUCGUGCUGUAAAGUGUCCUGUUAAGUCAGGCAACGAGCAAGACCUGUACCCAUAAUUGCUAGCGACAUCAUCGAUGGAUCGAGCACAUUAUGGGGACUGCCCUGGAAACAGGGAGGAAGGUGCAGGCAACGGUAGGUCUGUAUGCCCCGAAUCUUCUGGGCUACACGCGCGCAACAAUGGUAGGAACAAUGGGAUACAACUCCGAAAGGAGAAGUUAAACCUCGAAAUCCUAUCUUAGUCUAGAUUGAGGGUUGGAACUCACCCUCAUGACAAUGGAAUCCCUAGUAAUCAGACGUCAUUAUCGUCUGGUGAAUAUGUCCCUGCUCCUUGCACACACCGCCCGUCAAACCAACCGAGCAGGGUUAGGUGAGUGUCAUCUUUUUGGGUGUCACGAAUCUAAACUCAGUGAGGUGGGUUAAGUCGUCACAAGGUA
rnacentral:rRNA from 1 species